AAGAUACUAAGUCCUCCUGAUUAUGCAUGUGAAAUGUGUAUUUGUAAAGUUUUUCUAGGUAUAAACGUCUGUGGUAUAUAAAAUUAACCAUUUCCUACCCAUAUCAUAGCUUUAAUACACACACACACACACACACACACACACACACACACACACACACACACACACGUAUAUAAUGGUGCUACAUUUAAACAAAACUAACUUUAGACAUGCAUAUUCAUUUCACUUUCAGUUAAAACUUACUCCUUAAUAAGCCUUUUAAAAAAUGACAGGAGUCAUGACAUCACUUAAGAAUGAGAUUUUUAUCUUGAGUCCAUUGAAGAACAUUUUGCGGCUUAAUUAUUCGAAAUUAGUUUUAGAAAAUAACUUGAGGUUAUUGAAUAUAUUUUAGAGUUUGUCUGAAAACUGGAGUUGUAGGGUCUUGUUCAAACUUAAAAUUAUACUCUGUGUGUGUGUGUAAAUGAGUGUUUUCAGCAGUGAGGAUUGAACUCGGGGCACACCAUCUUAGUAGUAGCACAAACCUAACAAUGAGCUACAUCCCUUAGAAAUACAUUUCUUACUCUGUUGCAGUUACCGCUACUAAGUCAUUAGCUACAUAGAAAACUAGGGUCUUCAGCACACAUCAGUUUGGCAAAGCUUCCUUACAGCUUCUUGGGCUGGUGCAGCUGGCAGUGCGUCAGUGUUGAGGAUAAUGGAGCCAAGGUACAUUGUGAUUCCUAGAUAAAGCUUUGUAAUGGACACCAUAAACAAUGUGUAAGAGUGUAACAUAAACAGAGUUUGAUGCCAUCAUAAAAAAAAAAUCAAGUAGUUUGCACUUAGUAUAGAUGCCAAAGGUUUCUUACGUUGUACUAGGUCCUGAGUAUCUUCAUGUUACAAUGAUCAUGCACACAGUCAUGAACUCUUCAUGUGCUCUGAUGGCAUAGAUACUCAUAUCCAAGCAGAGAUUCUUUGUUUAUAAGAGAAACUUGUAAGAAGUUUAUCUCUGCAGAGUAAUGUGGAAGCAAAUAGCUUAUGAACAGUUAGUAACUCUGAGUGUUCCCGGCCUCUGUCCUGUGCCCUCACCCACUCUGUGUGUAUCUGGCCUCCAUCUUUCGUCCCUCCCCCAGUCUCCUUUCCCGUUAUGUCUCAUAGUUGUUCUCACACUGUAGAGACCUACUCGUAAUUGUUAAGCCUUGCUUACCAGCUUGGUGAUUUGGGGCUAGGUCCUUGAAUGCUGUGACCCCCACUGGUACAAAAAGAUGAACACACAUAAGUACUUAUUUAGUAGUGUCAGGGGAUUGUAGGAUUGGAGUGCUCUCAAUGCAGUUUCGAACAAAUAAUAGCCCCUUAAAUGCUGGGCACUUAAUGGGACCAUCCCACAUCCCUGCCCAGCCUUUGAGAAUAAUAGUUCAUGCCUGAAAUUUGUGAGAUGUAGCAUGUAAGAUCUCAAGGUUACCCCAGACUACAGGUGUUUAUCAAUCACUCUUGUUAUCAAUAGCAAAUUGAGUUGUAAAAUAUUUAGAUGAAAGUGAAUAUGGAAAGCCAUUCUUUCACUUGAAUAGAACUUCUGUAAGCUCUCAAAGAAUUCAGACCACAGCACUCUAUUUCUUUCUUUUAUUUUAAUUUUGGAUGAGGGUCUUACUAUGUAGCCCAGGCUGCUCUGAACUCACUAUGUAGCCCAGGUAAGUCUGAACUUGAACUCACCACCCUCCUGCUUCCACCUCCCAGAUGCUGGAACUACAGGGAUGUGCAUUGCUGAGGAUUAAAAACACCUUCACCAGCCCACCAAUGCCACAUAAGCACCUGCCUCAGAGCCAUAACCCUAGAUGGCAGUUUGUGUGUCUGAAAGCUUUUGAUUAUAUAUCUACUUUUCUUGUUGUCUCACUAACUUGACAAUCCCAUAAGAGGAAACCUGAGAGUGUCUUGCUUAGCUACACCUCUGUCUCUACCUGCCAAUCCUAGGUUAGGUACUCACAAUGUUUCUAACAUUAAAUACAUAUCUUCUAAAAUUAAGAAAUUCCUUACAACCAAGCACCCAAUUUACAAUACUCAUAAAUGCAAGGCUUGUUUACAUAAAUGUAUAUAUUUUUAUUUUGCAAUUUUGAGCGAAUGCACUCAGUAAACUUUAAAGUAUUACAUGAGGUUAGUCUGCAUUUUGUGUCUGACAGUCAAACAUGGAUAUGCCUGAUAUCUGGGGAUGUUAGCAAUGCUUGAAACAGGUAAUGAAGGCAUGUAUAACAAACAGAUCAUAUAAGGCAGGGAAAGCUUUGAGUUUCUGGCCUAACUGAAUGCACAGAUGUGGAUAAAGCUCAAGCCUGUGGGACUUAAGAGACAUUACAAGAACUUACGUAAAUGUAGCAUCGAGAGUUUUACAUUAUGUAAUUAGAACCUAUAUUUUACUAAAAUUGUACUGUAAUUCUUAUAAGCUAUUUAUUAUUGUUGGCAUUAAUGUUUUUGUCCUAAUAUAAAGCUUAAUUUCUGCUGUAAAGUAUGAAUACAGAAACUGCACAGAUCUGUAAUAGACUAUGUAGUAUUUAACUCUGAAUAAAAUCUGAAGCCACAUGAU
rnacentral:lncRNA from 1 species